AGCAAACACUACAUCUGAAUACAUGGAUGAAACACCAAAUAUAUAUUUAUUUUUUCUGAUGGAAGAGAAUGUGAAAAUAUAUAUAAUUGCAACCUCUGAAGUAAGGGAAAGCAAAAAGGAAAAUAAUUGAAAGUGACAAAAUGAAUGCCUGAAAAAUGCUAGACAAUGUGAUUUGCUCGUCGUGACUUGCUGUGCAAUGGAAGGUGCCCCUGUUCUUAACAUUUUAACUGUACCUUAAGUCAGGUUCGGAUGUGUUAAAUAUCACAUUGUUUCUUCUUGUUGUAAGAUACCUACUUUACUAGCAUAGUUUAAUCCAGCCCCAAUGAAAAUAACCAAGGUGGUUUUUAAGCAGUUUAUCCUUUUGUGGUCACUUACCAGGCGACCAGAAACAUUAUUGCUGAGGUACCUUGUGGGUCAGACUUUCAAUUCUGUAAAUCACUGUAAUUUUCCGGAAUUCAGUGCCAAUAAGCCAUUUAAAAGAUGAGUUACAUAGACUGGAGGUCUGGCAUAACGCUUUUCUUUCCUGGCACCAUGCCUGAUCUCAAAACUGCAGCGCAGUUUAAUUCUUGUCCUGCGGUUUCCCCCCACCCUGCCCCAAUACUGACAGGGAUAUUGACAUUUGUCGUGUAACUCCCUACUCUUGAACUUCCAAGGUGAAUGCUGAAGUCUUCAUUUCACACUUGGUUUUGACUUUCCCUCUUCUACCCCACACAAAAUCACUGUGAUAGUACUUGUUUAACUUUACUCCCUUGAUGCUUGGUUUCACACACCUUUUUCUUGAAGUCAGCUAGUGUACCAAAGUCAAAUUAAAUAUUGGAAGGUACAGUGAUGUGAGUGCUCAUAUGCCCAAGUGCGCCAUUGGCUUUGCUUUAAGCUUGAGGUGGUUCCUGUGUUGACUCAUGUGUUUCAUAAGCGGCACCAUUUGGAGGAAUGUGAUGAGUGCAGUGCUGGGUUCAAACCUGCCUCAUGAGAAAUCUCAUCCUCCAGUCAAAACAAUGUGAGUUUUGGAUGAACAUUAGGUAGAAAAUGCCCAGGCCUCUGAUGUGCAGAUUGAGAACAAGUUUGAUUCCUUGCCCAUUAGCUUUCUGACUUGCUUUUAGUCAAAAAACUGGUAAUUAGGCCGGGUCAGGUGCGCUCAUCUUCCUGUUUGGAUUCCAAGCAUAUGCCACAUUCUUGUAGUUGGCCUUGUGUUUCUCUUCUGCAUUUUCUUUUAAGGCAGUAAUCCAAAUGUGUGUAGAGGUUCGCAGCUGGAUCUGUCCAUUUCCACUCCCACAUUUAAAGAACUUUGCACUUUGGAGGUUUCCUGUAUACUGGGAUGAGUAUCUGUGCUUAUCACUAAUCUUGUGGUGGAAACCACAAGAGUGAUUUAGGCCCAAAGUUAGGGCCUAAACCACUUGUGCUUAGGCCCAAGCUGAGUACUUGACAAGCCAGUCCCAUCACACGUUUCCUACAGUUCAUUAGAGGGGAACCGUAGAGGCUGCAGAGGCUAUAGAGAAGCACAAGAUCCUGGAAAGUGGGACGAUGGCACCUGCAGAGCUGUAAAGCUUAUGGAUGCAUCCCUCAGCUCAUCCCGUUGGGCUGGAAGAGCACAGGCUGCAGGUUACGUGCAGCAGCCACUUCUCCUGUAUUAAUUCCCUCAGCUGUCUAGAGCCAACAUCUAUGGCCUUGUUCUCUGUAGGCAGACUGCAGCUUGUUACUAUUCUUGAUUUGGUUCUUCUCCUGGAAUUAGCUUUUCCCCAGCUAUUUGCCCACUCUUGGUGGCUGGUAAAAAACACAGUCCAGAGGGAGUCUAUUUGCAAUAAAAUAUAGUUGCAAAAGUGUAGUGAAUGCUAAUCUUCAUGGAUUUCAAAACACCUGUCUUUCACACCUUUUCAUUCUUUUUUCACCCAGUGAUGGAGCAUGUUUUUGUUCAAGUUGUUAUUUGUCAAAAUCGUGCUUUAGUACAUCCAAAUGGAUGAGAGUUUACUGCAGACAAAGGUGAGGCACUUCGCCCAAACCAAUUAUUAGUCCUCACUAUAUGUUAUCCUUAAUUGAAAGCUUUGCCAAAUUUUUGUCUGAAGGUAAUAGUUGCAGACAGAAUUCUCCUUGUAAAAUUUAGCUUAUGCUGCAGUCCCAUGAGUCCUGACGCAUAGUUAGAAAGAAAAUUAAUUGCCCUUUUUAUUUGUAUUCUUCCUUUGUCCCUAUUGUAGGUUUUUGGAAUACUGAAAUGAAAUUUUAAUCUACUAACUUUUCUCUUUUCUUGGACAGCAAGGAGUAACAGUUCACUUUGCUUUCCUUUACUUGUCCUUCAGUUUUGUCUUCAAGAAGUAACAGGACCAUGCACGAUUCUGUGUGAAGUGAAUAAACAAUACAUUGGUGUCAGUUCCUACUAAAGUGAUGGAUUAAGAAAAUAAAGAUAUUAAAUAUACAUUA